rnacentral:rRNA from 1 species
UACGUAGGAGACGAGCGUUGUCCGGAAUCAUUGGGCGUAAAGCGCGUGUAGGCGGCCCGGUAAGUCCGCUGUGAAAGUCCAGGGCUCAACCCUGGAAUGCCGGUGGAUACUGUCGGGCUCGAGUCCGGAAGAGGCGAGUGGAAUUCCUGGUGUAGCGGUGAAAUGCGCAGAUAUCAGGAGGAACACCGAUGGCGAAGGCAGCUCGCUGGGACGGUACUGACGCUGAGACGCGAAAGCGUGGGGAGCAAACAGG